GACGAACGCUGGCGGCGUGCCUAAUACAUGCAAGUAGAACGCUGAAGGAGGAGCUUGCUUCUCUGGAUGAGUUGCGAACGGGUGAGUAACGCGUAGGUAACCUGCCUGGUAGCGGGGGAUAACUAUUGGAAACGAUAGCUAAUACCGCAUAAUAGUAGAUGUUGCAUUACAUUUGCUUAAAAGGUGCAAUUGCAUCACUACCAGGUCGACCUGCGUUGUAUUAGCUAGUUGGUGGGGUAACGGCUCACCACGGCGACGAUACAUAGCCGACCUGAGAGGAGGAUGGGCCACACUGGGACUGAGACACGGCCCAGCCUCCUACGGGAGGCAGCGGUAGGGAAGCUUCGGCAAUGGACGGAAGUCUAACCGAGCAACGCCGCGUGAGUGAAGAAGGGUUUCGGAUCGUAAAGCUCUGUUGUAAGGGAAGAACGAGUGUGAGAGUGGAAAGUUCACACUGUGAGGGUAUCUUACCAGAAAGGAACGCCUAACUCCGU
rnacentral:rRNA from 1 species